rnacentral:rRNA from 1 species
AUUGAACGCUGGCGGCAGGCUUUACACAUGCAAGUCGGACGAGUGGCGAACGGGUGAGUAACGCCUGGGAAACUGCCUGGUGAAGGGGGAUAACUAUUGGAAACGGUAGCUAAUACCGCAUCCCAUCCGAUCUGCCCAUGUGGGAUUAGCUGGUGGGUGGGGUAAAGGCUCACCAAGGCGACGAUCAGUAGCGGGUCUGAGAGGAUGACCCGCCACACUGGGACUGAGACACGGCCCAGACUCCUACGGGAGGCAGCAGUGGGGAAUUUUGGACAAUGGGCGCAAGCCUGAUCCAGCCAUGCCGCGUGUCUGAAGAAGGCCUUCGGGUUGUAAAGGACUUUUGUCAGGGAAGCGGUACCUGAAGAAUAAGCACCGGCUAACUCCGUGCCAGCAGCCGCGGUAAUUC